GGGGGGGUUGUAGGCUACUCCAAACCUACACAUGGAAGUCAAGGCUCCUCAGCACAGCUGGUUUUAGGAGAUAAUGCUCCAGGUCUGUGAACUGUUUUAAAACUAUCCCUGUGGAUGCAUGAUCAUCUGAUCCACCAAAUCAGCUGAUGAAGCAGACUGACAACUGGCCGAGUCAACCAAGGUAACUCCACAAAGAAACAUGCAUGAUGUUUCGCUGAAGAAAAAACAACAUUUAAUGUGGUAAUGGCCAAUAAUGAAAUUGUAGACUGUUCAUAUCCAGUAACCCAGGCUUAUCUCCCAUUGAUUAGAACAUUUUCAAUGUGCAUUGUUUAAAUCUAAGAGAUAACCUACAACUGAUUACAUACGUCUCACUGUACAUCUUCACCACUGAUGAUCUCUUUAUGAUUUUAACAAGCUCAUGACAUCAUUCUACGACAGGUAAGGGAAGUAUUACCAACAGAACUAUUAGCUGUUGUGCUAAUUCUGGCAUAUUUACAUUGAUGCUUUAUGCUGACAUGUUGAUGAAUGUGCAUUGUCGUAAUUCAAAUAAAUAAAUAAAAUAAAAUAAAGCAUUAACAUUUAAAAAGAAUUAACUAUUAACUGACUAAUUUACUAUAGGCUGUCCACAUUCAAGAACACUGAUACUAGCCUGAAAGAGACAUAAAUUAUUAUUUUUUUCUCCCAUCUGCAGGACGAGGGUCCUAUCUCUUCAAAUUGAAGCCAGCAGUGGGAAAGGUGCUGUUUUUAAAAGAAUUGGGAGGUCAAUGACAUUACUUUCUAAUUAUUUUAAA